ACUCCGCACACAGUUCCCUGGGAUUUACACGAGGCUUUGAUGGUGAUGCUGUGCAUACAGCAACGGUUCUUCUGUGGGUUUCCUGACCAAAUUCAGGGACAUUAGCAACACUGACUGAAUAUCAUGUAGCACUUCAGGGUUAGGAAUGGUUGAUAUUUUAAUCUCAAUUUAUCAAGGAUUUACUUCAAAAAAAUGUCUUAAUUUCCUCAAGUUGAUAGCGUCAGAGAGUCUAGAACUGAACUGUUUGGGGUUAAGGAAAAACAUUCAAUAACAUGACAAUGACAAUACAAUCAAAAUUACACAGUUGUACCUCUGAGGGAUCGUGGACCCACU